rnacentral:lncRNA from 1 species
GCCGAGAACACCGAAACCCUGGAUGUUUAACAGCUUGUUUGUGUUUGCCCAGGAAACUCGUUGGGGAUCUAAGAUGUAUUCCCACUGAGGUUGACAAUUGAACUCGGGAGAAAAGCCAGUCGGCCUGAAGAAGCAUGUAGGAUCUACCUUGACUCGUGCAAAAGAGCUGAGUGCUGUGAGAAAGCAUUCCGACACUUUGCAUAUGACUUUGAGGAGUCUGGAGCCAUUUAAGACUGUUCCUUCAACAUGAACCCCAGUUGGGGCCCUAGAUGGUUUCCGUCUUUGCAGGAGGGGAAAGAGGCGUGGGCACGAAGCAACCUCCCUUCUUGCUGCUGAUCCUUAGGGCGAGUCGUGCGUUAAAGGACACUAGUGGCAUGCCUGGCCCCUGCUAACCGCUUGACACGAGUGAUCUCGUUUCAUCUACAGAACAGGUUGUAAGGUAAGCAUUCUCCUUACUUCAAAGCAAGACAUUUCGAGGCUUUAAAGGGGGUAAAGUGACUUGCUCAAGGUCACACAGCUAGUACGGGGCAGAUCUGAGAUUUAAAUCUGGGAAAUCAUUUGAAUGUCUUAGUUUGUAACCGUUACACCAUAGGUAAGGACAGUUUAAUGGCCAAGGGAUACCUGAAUCGUUUCUUGUGAGACACCUGCUUCCAGGGGAAAGUGGGGAGCAGAUUUAAGUGGUUUUCUGAUUGUCCUUGAGGAACAUGAUGGUCCAACUGUCAAGAGUGGUUGAAAUAUAAAUACAGUUAUGUGUUUUGUGUCGUCUCUGACCCCUGGAAGAUUCUGGG